CACAGCACGAUGUCCUUCUACCUCCUGGUGAACAACAAAUCCUUGGUGUCCCUGUCGAGGACGCUCUCCGAGGUGUACAGGGAGUGCCAUGACGACGACGGCUUCCUCUACGUCACCUACGCCAGUCAGGAGGUCUUCGGGUAAAGGCUAGUGGCUGUACUGAUAAUUGCCUGUACUUCUGUGAUACACCUCUUCCGCCUCUGCUCAAAGGGAAAGCUCCUGCAACAGCCGCGGCACAAUUUCGCUCCUCAUUCCUGUUGUCAGGAGCUGUUGCAUUUCUUGCAGAUGUUGAGACUUCCUUUUGUACAUGUAUUUAUAUAUACAUAUACAUAUUUGUUAGAUAUAUUUGGAUACCAGGUAAAGACCUUUUUGCUCAAUGUCUUUAUAUGUCAUUUUCUGAGUGAUGCAUAUGGAAAUGCAGUUGUUUGAAUCCAAAGAAGAGUAUAUAGUUGAAGAAAAGGAAGCUCAUGUUUGAUCAUUGCCAAAAAGAGGGGAAAAAUGUUAAAAAAAAAAAAAUUCUAUAUGGUUGUGGUGAAUGAUUACUUGUAGUAAAAUCUCUCUUGUCUUGUACGUUUUCAGAGCUUGAAUAAUGAGAGGAAAGAUCAAAUUAUGACCUUGAAACACUUCAUUUUAAUGCAGAGAUGGACUGUCAUGCUCCAGAUUUAGUGAAAUUUACCAUUCACCCAUUUUUAAAUUACAACUUCUAUUUAGUUCCUGGAUAUUUCAUGUCUAAAACAAUGAUGUAUUGGAUACAUGCUUGAAGAUUUCCCUGUUAGGAUGUGUCAAUGAAUCUCUUAAAAAGGUACUAUGUUAUUCAAUACAUUAUUUUUUUCAUUCUUGCCUAGAACUAAGGAGCUGCAUGACGCUUUAUUUUUCAAAAGUUAAAGGCAUAAUUGGAGUUUUUAUUCCCAUAACUUCCUGGUCUGAAAUUCUUGAACAGUCUUUUAUUUACUUGUUUUAAAGUGUUUGACUGUUGAGAUGAAAAGGAAAGUACAAAGACAAUUAUUAUUUGAUAUGCAAGUUCAGGAGGUAUUGUGUACCUAUCUUCAGAUAUACAUGUAUUAAAUCAUAUGCAAAGGAAAAAAAAAGGAAAAAAAUCCUGUUUUGGAUGUAUACAUGUACACAAGGUAAUUGGUAAUCAACAAAUUUUAAAAGUUAUUGAACAAGGAAAAAAUAAUUGUAUUUACUGUUAUGCAAGUAUUUGGACUGUUACUUAAUGUUAAUUAAUUUACAGAAUUAAUCAAGUUUAAUUGAUUGCCAAUUCCCUUCUGUUACAUUCCUAAUGUAUUAAUUUUCGUAUUCUUUAUUUGUAUUGUAUCCAUCAUACAAAGCCUGAUUUGUUAUUUUCAAAUAGAUUAUAUAGAAAAAUAGAGACACUGAGGAAUUAUUACCAUUUUUUUUCUUAUCAUUUUGCCAUGAGCCUGACAACCAAUUAACCAGUGUAUGAUAAGAGAUUUGCUAGGACUAUCAUCAUGUGUUGACCUAUUGUCUGUGCCAUUUGUAUUUCUCGCUAAUCUUGCGUAUUUGAGAGAAAGUGCAGAGAAAAGAAGGGAAAGGUUAGGUUUAAGGCGUGAUGAGAACAGCUUCUUGUAGGGGGGUCCAAUACAGCAGUAUUUGAGCUUUAUUAUUAUUUAUAUAUUAUUUUUUAUUUUAUUUUAUUUUUUCCCCUUUAUUAUUAUUAUUAUUAUUAUAUGCCAAUAAGGCUCGUGAUUUAUGAUGAUUUCACUGGCUGGACGGACCAACAUACACAUAGAUCUCAGGGCACUUUGGGGCUGCUGUUCUAUUAUUGAAUAUAUUUGCUAGUUUAAGGUAUUUUUUAAUCUGUUUUUUACUUGGACACAGAGAGUUUAUGAACUGAAAAUUUUGAGUUUUUGACGAGACAAUAUCUGGUUUUGAGCCGUAUUCAUGAUUUCCAAGUAAAUUCCAGUUUUUAGCUGAACUGGUGCUUUAUUGACUAACAGUUUCUGAUCUGUACUAAAAUUCCAUAUUUUGCCGGAAUUUUAGAGUAUAGCUAAUGGAAAAUUUGAGAGGUGCUUUGAUAUAUUUUAAAUCAUUUUAGAGUAAAAUAUAAUUAUUUGAUUCUUAAGAGAUAUAUCUUUAUAGUUUAAAUAAAAAAUUGCUGGAAUUCAGUGUACACAAAUAAUUAUUAGUAAGCAGGAAAUAAAAUCCUUGAAGUGUACGUGCUGAAAGUUGAUAUUAAAGAUAGGUUACAAAAAGCAUUCAAAAGGUGAUUCCUACGAGAGAACUUUUGCUGAUAUCCAAGUAACCUACAGUUUUGGUUAAUGCUUACCCAUUUGCUCUUCUGUAUUGUAUAAAUAUAAGAAAUGGCAUAUUUACGAAUUUUGAUUUAUGUGCAGAAUUGUUUUAGAUUUCACCUAUGUGUAUUCUUACAUAAAUAAAGUUAAUAUUCAGCAGUCUUCAUUUCCUUGUCUUUAAAAUCUGCUACAUACAUGGUGAAAAGACAUCUUACAAAGUGAAGAGAGAUCAAGGUAUACCAAACUAUAAGUACCUAUAUGCAUAAUCACAAACCAAUGUAGAAUUACAAACUAUAUAUUGUCUAGAUGAAACAAGAUGGAAGUCCAUUUCAUCUCCUGGAAGAAAUCUAAAAAUGCAAAAACUGAACAGAUAUUCUAAGUAUCAAAGAUUUCAUAGUAGUCCACUUAAACUCCUUGAUUUUUUUUAUUCUGUUUUAAGAAAAUUAUAUUAUGGUUGAGGCAAUAGUCAACUGUACUAACUUAAUUGCUGUAGAUACUCCAUAAACUACUCAAAACAGAAUUUUACAUUAGUAGAUUUUUUUUCUAUAUACUUCCAUUUCGCUGGCAAAUCCUUGGAAUGAGAGGAAUGGAGGACUAAUGCCUUAACAAUUUAUUAUUAGUUGGUUAAAAAUUAUAUGAAUGAUAUGAAUUAUAUAAGAUGCUGUUUGUUACCAUAUCUACAUUCAUAAAUGCUAAAUCUAGUUGAAAGUGCAUUUCUUCUAUAGUCUUCAGCAUGUCUAAAAAAGGAUAUUUAUGUAGGUAUGAUUGUUAAAAUGUGAAGUUUACAGCUAAAUUUGUGCACUUUAACCAAACAUUAUGAGUUUUCCAAUCCUGGCAGAGGAGAAUCAUUCAACUGUCUAAACCAUAUCCACGAAUAUUAUUAAACCAUGAUUUCUUUUAA